AAUAAAUAGUUGAAUCAGUACAAUAUUAGACAUACCUCUAGUAGCAUGCUCUGGCCAUUAUUCCAUGGCGGAAAUGCAGUCAAUUAUUGACCAACCACUGCUCCGAUGAUGGCUUACAUAAAGCCAAAACGUUGGUCCAAGAAAAACGGUAUUUUUUUCAAAAGAUUUUGGUAGGCUGUAAGCAUUUUUGCGUGACAUAAAGUCUAGUAGCAAACCAAUUUUGCGAUGAUACAAAAGAUAAUGAGCAGCUAAGUAUGUGUUUUUCACUCACAUUUCCUCAGGCCUAUGUUAGUUAUUAACAAUUUAUUGCAAAAAACGCGAUUUUUUAGAUUUUUUCUUUAUAACUUUGAAACCAGCAGUCGGAAUGACCCGACGAGAUGAUUUGUACGAAUAAAAAUAUCUACAAAAUAAGAGGUCAAAUGCCGCAAUCGGAUAAUUAUGUUAUAUAAUUAUGUUGUAUAACUGAGAAAUUGAGGAAAACCCGGAAAAUUGGGCGUUCUGACGAAAAUUCAUAGCUCCGUCGUUGUCUGAGCCGGAAGGCUGAAAUUUUCAGCCAAACUAGGCAUUAUAAUGUUCUUUAUUUGUGCCAAGGUGGGGCAAGUAUUUAGUUUUGUAAAAAUUGCAGUUAAAAAUUUGCUGUUCAUCAUUUUCAACUUGUUACCCACGCUGUUGCUAACAGAUUUUGCAAGCAACAAUAUUGUUCUUGAGCCUUUUGGUUUGUAAGUAUUGCCAUUGAUUAGCUUAAAUUCGUGAAUACUAAAUAGCUCGAGUUUACUGGAUUAGAGGCGGCCUGAACAUAUUCCCAAUGAUAUCAGCUGCUGCUCGAAAAGAACUUUAUAGGCGCAGAUUUGCGUUUAUGCCUUCAAGUCGAAAAGAUCGCCAUAAUCCAUAUUACUUGGGGCUAUAUUCCAUUCCGUCAAGAUUUUAAUGCUGGUCAUCGUUUUGUUGUUCUAACUUUAGCAUAGUACGAUUUAAUUAUUCAUAAUCUGUGGGAUUUUAUAUAAGCAGUUUCUUUGAAUUCGUUAGUUUUAUAUUGAGUUAUUUCUUAAUGUUGAAGCCGAUAAUAUGCUAAUGCAAGUUAAAUAGUAUCAAUUUUCUGCAGACGGAAAAUUCCUAGUUAGUAAUCAUGCUGCUUCUAAAUUCAGCUAUUGUGAUUGUGAAAUUAGGAGCAACAUGUGUAGUUGCUAAUCUCAUUUUUGUUAAUACAUACCUUUGCAAUACCUGGCUA